rnacentral:rRNA from 1 species
AGCGAACUUUCCAGAGAUGGAUUGGUGCCUUCGGGAGCGCUGAGACAGGUGCUGCAUGGCUGUCGUCAGCUCGUGUUGUGAAAUGUUGGGUUAAGUCCGCAACGAGCGCAACCCUUAUCCUUUGUGCCAGCGAUUCGGUCGGGAACUCAAAGGAGACUGCCGGUGAUAAACCGGAGGAAGGUGGGGAUGACGUCAAGUCAUCAUGGCCCUUACGAGUAGGGCUACACACGUGCUACAAUGGCGCAUACAAAGAGAAGCGACCUCGCGAGAGCAAGCGGACCUCAUAAAGUGCGUCGUAGUCCGGAUCGGAGUCUGCAACUCGACUCCGUGAAGUCGGAAUCGCUAGUAAUCGUGGAUCAGAAUGCCACGGUGAAUACGUUCCCGGGCCUUGUACACACCGCCCGUCACACCAUGGGAGUGGGUUGCAAAAGAAGUAGGUAGCUUAACCCUCGGGAGGGCGCUUACCACUUUGUGAUUCAUGACUGGGGUGAAGUCGUAACAAGGUAGGCGUACGUGU